GCGGCUUGAAAACAUCUGUUCACAGUUUCUACACGGAAGGCAGGAAUAAUCAGCAUUCCUGAGCCAGUCCCAACAAAUCUGAAACAUGGCGAAAUUAUGCAUGGACCACCACAACAUGUGAUACAAGAUAAAGGCUAUUGGAGAUGGAGCCUCACCCAAAACAUAGAAAAGCAUGUUUAGUAAGCGUGGAGACUCUAGACUGGAGGAAUGAGUCACUGAGGAACUGCUGUGGGGGAGGCAGAGGCGGACAGUCAGACUCACUGACAAACAGAGUUCUCUCCGGGCUGGUACUGGGGCUCGGUGGCGGUGAAGUAAUCCUCCAGGAAGCUCUGCAGAUACUCGAAUGUGUGCCUCUCAUCGGGGUCUUUCCUCCAGCACUGAAGCAUGAGCUCGUGCAGAGAUGCCGGCGAGCCCUGCGGACACGGCAUACGGUAUCCGCGCUCCACCUGCUCCAGCACCUCUCGGUUGUUCAUUCCUGUGCACAAACAUUACACACAGAAGAAGUUUGAGUGUCAAUGGCUACCUGUUUCCAGCAUUCUUCAUCAAAAUAUCUCUAUAUUUGCAUCUUUGAGUGAACUGUCCCUUUAAGCAAUUAACAGGGUUCCCACUCUUCCAUAAAAGGAGAUUCAAGGACUUCUUAAAGGAUUAUUCAUUUCAAAUCAAGCACCUUUUCAAUUCACACUGCCAGCAAAUACAGCAUCAUGAAAGUCCAUGCUGCACUUAACAGUUCACUUACACUUCAUAUUUACAUUGAAAGCAGCGAUGAUGAUGUUUUGAAUAUGUCGUUUACCAAAAAUGUUUUAAA
rnacentral:lncRNA from 1 species